CACGCCCUAAACGAUGUCAACUAGGUGUUGGAAGGGUUAAACCUUUUAGUGCCGUAGCUAACGCGUGAAGUUGACCGCCUGGGGANACGCGAAAAACCUUACCUACCCUUGACAUGUCAGGAAUCCCGGAGAGAUUUGGGAGUGCUCGAAAGAGAGCCUGAACACAGGUGC
rnacentral:rRNA from 1 species